GUUCACUGACCCACCAGCAACUGGGCUAUUCAUUGGACGAGGCUUCUGUCCCUUAAUUACCCAAGCAUGAGCAAGAUCACUCUGCCAUGUGUAAUAUCACAUAAUUGAAAGCAAUGGGCUCUAACAAAAGAAAACUGCAAGAAGCAAAAAGAAAAGUACAGCUUCCUUAUCCAGAAUAUUCUGCUGCAAAAUAGAAAGUCAGGCUCAGCUCUAGUCCUCAACUAUAAUAGUAACAACCACAACACUUAUAAUAGCAGCUACAGAACAGCGUGUACUCCGUACCAACAAUAAUAUUAACUGCUUUU
rnacentral:lncRNA from 1 species